GUGAGAACAGCAGCAAAGGGUC
rnacentral:misc_RNA from 1 species